AAACCCGGUGAUCUAGCCAUGGGCAGGUUGAAGGUUGGGUAACACUAACUGGAGGACCGAACCGACUAAUGUUGAAAAAUUAGCGGAUGACUUGUGGCUGGGGGUGAAAGGCCAAUCAAACCGGGAGAUAGCUGGUUCUCCCCGAAAGCUAUUUAGGUAGCGCCUCGUGAACUCAUCUUCGGGGGUAGAGCACUGUUUCGGCUAGGGGGCCAUCCCGGCUUACCAAACCGAUGCAAACUCCGAAUACCGAAGAAUGUUAUCACGGGAGACACACGGCGGGUGCUAACGUCCGUCGUGAAGAGGGAAACAACCCAGACCGCCAGCUAAGGUCCCAAAGUCAUGGUUAAGUGGGAAACGAUGUGGGAAGGCAUAGACAGCCAGGAUGUUGGCUUAGAAGCAGCCAUCAUUUAAAGAAAGCGUAAUAGCUCACUGGUCGAGUCGGCCUGCGCGGAAGAUGUAACGGGGCUAAACCAUGCACCGAAGCUGCGGCAGCGACGCUUAGGCGUUGUUGGGUAGGGGAGCGUUCUGUAAGCCGUUGAAGGUGGCCUGUGAGGGUUGCUGGAGGUAUCAGAAGUGCGAAUGCUGACAUAAGUAACGAUAAAGCGGGUGAAAAGCCCGCUCGCCGGAAGACCAAGGGUUCCUGUCCAACGUUAAUCGGGGCAGGGUGAGUCGACCCCUAAGGCGAGGCUGAAAAGCGUAGUCGAUGGGAAACAGGUUAAUAUUCCUGUACUUGGUGUUACUGCGAAGG
rnacentral:rRNA from 1 species